rnacentral:rRNA from 1 species
AGAGUUUGAUUAUGGCUCAGGAUGAACGCUAGCUACAGGCUUAACACAUGCAAGUCGAGGGGCAUCAGGGAUCUAGCUUGCUAGAUUGCUGGCGACCGGCGCACGGGUGAGUAACGCGUAUCCAACCUGGCCCUUAGUAGGGGAUAGCCCGGCGAAAGUCGGAUUAAUACCCUAUGUUCUUCGUAGAGGACAUCUGAAAUGAAGCAAAGGUUUACCGCUAAGGGAUGGGGAUGCGUCUGAUUAGGUAGUCGGCGGGGUAACGGCCCACCGAGCCAUCGAUCAGUAGGGGUUCUGAGAGGAAGGUCCCCCACAUUGGAACUGAGACACGGUCCAAACUCCUACGGGAGGCAGCAGUGAGGAAUAUUGGUCAAUGGGCGAGAGCCUGAACCAGCCAAGUCGCGUGAAAGGAUGAAGGUUCUAUGGAUUGUAAACUUCUUUUGUCCGAGGGUAAAGGAGUCCACGUGUGGAUUUUUGCAAGUAUCGGACGAAUAAGCAUCGGCUAACUCCGUGCCAGCAGCCGC